GCAAAUAUAGGUCCAUGAUGAUCAGGGCUUCGGCAUGCUGCUAUCGUGUUUGUGUUUCGAUUCUGAAUUUGCUGGAGUGUGGGGAUGAUUUAAUGAUAGAGGCAUGAGAGUCUGUCUGGAUAACCUCUGUGUUUAAUCUGUCCACAGCUGAUCCACUGUGAGUCCGAUAACUGACUAGAUUAUCACUGACCAGUCAACAGGGGCUGGAUGUGUGGAGACGCUGAGCACAUUGUGCAAUGAAUUCUCCGGUUACACAUCUCUAUUGUCAGAGGCUGUGCUUUUAUCUGUCAUCUCGAUCAGAUCAUUUGAUGCACUUUGGUCUACUCUCUGUACGCUGCCUGACUGUCUGUCUGGAUUUCAACCAUGGUUUAAACAAGGUUCAGCGCUGACGUAAUGGGGGCAGGUCACUUUUCACUACUACAACUGUUCACAUCUGUUCAUGUUCAAAUCAAAGUAAGUUUUUCAAAACACAGGUUUUUAUGUCCUUCAUACAUGUUGAGAGAUCGAAUUGAUCGACUUUAUAAGGGAAUAAGUCUGGACAUAAUCAACAAAGACCGACUUAGUAAAACAUGAAGUCAUGUGCUUUAUUCGUUGCAUUAGUCUGAAUGUAAAUCCGGUCGUCAGGCAAGUGCUGCCCCGCAGUGUGAGAGAGUAGACCAAAUUGCUUCAAACAAAAGGUAUUAAAAAAAAGAAAAAUAGAAAACGUAUGAAUAUUUUAUAUAUACAAACAUAUUAGACACAACGUCCACAACUUCACCCAUUGGAUUAAAUUAGGCUGUGCAAUCUCUGUGUUCAGUCCAUUACUUCCACUGUAUCUGUUUAGCUGAGGAAACAGAACCAACCUCGUGACGUCAGAAAAAGCAUCAUUCUAUGAUGGCGGUACCCUUGCCCUAAAACCUAUAGUAAAACAUGCUGUUUUCUUCUAAAUGGUUACUUUAGUCGAGUUUGUUUAUUUUUUUCAUUAUAGUGAAAACCAAUGUAUUGAAUAAUGUAAACUUGACUGAGUGCUUCACUUCAACUUUAACAGUAGAUUACAUGGAGAAGAAAAUGAUAAUGUUUCCAAAAAUGAUGUACUAAAAUGACUACAGUAAAUAAAAAUAGACAGAUGUGAACAUUAACUCAAACUAUUCUACAACCAUUCAUUCUAAAAAUAAAGGAUUCUUUACUAGAUUGGCAUUUAUGGUUAAACAAAUAACAUUAAAAGGACUCUGAUCAUGCAAAAACAACUUUUGGAAGCUGUUUGUACAAAACUGUGUGUAGGUACAGCAUUAGCAUGUCCAUAUAUUGGAGUGAUAUAAACACUUUAAAAAAAAACAUAAAAACGCUUUAAAUAUUUUUAAAAAUUCACAAUGUUGAUAUAGGAACAAAAUCCCAGUGAUUUUAAGUCCCACUGGAACAUGACUUGGCAGUGCAAUUUUUCCCACCCAUCGAAAUUGAUUGACAGGGAAGUAUUAACUAGUCUCCAUAGUAACGCGUAUAAUCAUGUUCACAAGACAGUAUUUGCAAAGAAACAUUGCAAGUUUUUACAAGUUUAAAAUGUUUUUAAACAGUGCAUGUUUGUAUUAAGGAAAAAACUGUAAAUUGUUAUGCAAUUCAUAACCACUGAGAUCACCACAGCUGCAUAGUGUCAGCAAAUCUCUAAACAACGAUGCUUCAAUCACAUAACAGGAGUCCGGGUUUGUGGACAUCAAAUCAGGUUUGUUUUGUACAAUAGCAUAACAGAUAUCCAUACAGCAGUGGAUAUUAACUUGCAUUUGUGUUAUUCAUUCAUCGUUGCAGAAAGCUUGAAUAAAUUCCACAAGAAAUACAUAAAAUAAAUUUUGAGAAACUGUGUCUCUACUUCAUUUGUUUCUGUCUGUCUAUCUGUCUGUCUGUCUGUCACUGUGCUGUUUAUCUGAUAUGACGCAGGAGAAGGAGAUGCGCAUGUCGGAACGGUGGGCAGGAAGAAAUAACUUAUUUGCAUUUAAAGGUACAGUCUAACAGGUUACAUCAAACAGGCUACUGGUUUUCAGUAUCUGCUGUCUGAAUAUAUAAGGACAUUUAACUUGAAUUUACACAUCUACUGGAAACUGAAAACUUGAGAGGGUCACUUCACAAGCUUUUUGCUAAAUCCUUUUUCCCAUAAAAAAUACUGUCAACUAUUCACUCCAAUCUUCACUUCAACAUAGCAAGAGGAAAGUUUAGUUUGAAGGUGCAGUAGGUGAUCUGCCAAAAUGCUAGUCGGUUAGCAUAUUAGCUUUGGACGGCAGAGGAGGGACUGUGUUUCAAAGCUACGCCUCCUAAUAUCGCGAACGCGCCCACCGCGACGCGAGUCACACGACAGCUGACAACCCAUUAGUUCAUGUCAUUCGCCAGAAGUGUAUGUAGUGGUUGGCCCUGGGGCGUGCAAUUUCACUUAUUACUAAGCCACACUUAACAUGCUAUUUCAGAGUGAAUAUUUAG